CAUCACUUGGCUGGAGGGCUGCUGAGAUCAUCUGGAGUUAAGACACUGGAAUCUCCGCUGGGGAAAGAUUUGUUGUUCACUAAUUCUUGAGUGACAUCAGAAACAGUGGAAUAGCAGGCAGCAUACCUUAUGCCGUAGAACUGACCAUUAAGAAAUGCAUUAAAUAUUGAUAGAUGGGGCCACGUUCCUCUCUCAUCCACUCUGCCACUGAGAAAACUCUGCCGUUACUAGGAUUUUUAGCAUGAGAAUGUAAACUUCUGACCUGAACAUUUGUUACUGAAAUAUCAUCAAGAAAAAGCACAUGGAAAAUAGUAGCAGAUAUUUAUUGAGCAUUUGGAAAGAAGAUUUGCAAAGGAUUAUACAUUCAGAGCAGGAAAUGAGGCAGGAAAUGUAUAGUAUGGAUGGCAGCAAUGCAUUCUUCCCCACACCUUUCUGCUGGCCAGUGGGCUUCA